CCCUUAGACGUUCUGGGCCGCACGCGCGCUACACUGACCAGUGCAACAAGCAUCCGUCCUUGGCCGACAGGCUCGGGCAAUCUUUGAACGCUGGUCGUGAUGGGGAUAGACUUUUGCAAUUUUUGGUCUUCAACGAGGAAUUCCUAGUAAACGCAAGUCAUCAACUUGCAUUGAUUACGUCCCUGCCCUUUGUACACACCGCCCGUCGCACCGACCGAUUGAAUGGUCCGGUGAAGCCUCCGGAUUGGCGCGCACCCCGGUGCCGCCGAGAAGUUGGCUAAACCUUACCAUUUAGAGGAAGGUGAAGUCGUAACA
rnacentral:rRNA from 1 species